rnacentral:rRNA from 1 species
GAUGAACGCUGGCGGCGUGCCUAAUACAUGCAAGUCGAGCGAACAGACGAGGAGCUUGCUCCUCUGACGUUAGCGGCGGACGGGUGAGUAACACGUGGAUAACCUACCUAUAAGACUGGGAUAACUUCGGGAAACCGGAGCUAAUACCGGAUAAUAUAUUGAACCGCAUGGUUCAAUAGUGAAAGACGGUUUUGCUGUCACUUAUAGAUGGAUCCGCGCCGCAUUAGCUAGUUGGUAAGGUAACGGCUUACCAAGGCAACGAUGCGUAGCCGACCUGAGAGUGAGAUGGAAGGCAGGGCGCAGGUGACACGGUCCAGACUCCAGGGGGAGGUAGGGAUAGAGCUUCGGGCGCGAGGGGUGAGAGGCUGACGGAGCAGCGCGGAGAGAUAGAUGAAGGUCUUCGGAUCGUGAAACUCUGUUAUUGUGGAAGAACAAAUGUGAGAGUGACAAUGCAGGUAUUAACAUAACCUGAUCGGAAAGCCACCGCUAGCUACGUC